GAUGAAGAACGUAGCGAAAUGCGAUACGUAAUGUGAAUUGCAGAUUUCAGUGAAUCAUCGAAUCUUUGAACGCACAUUGCGCCCGCCAGUAUUCUGGCGGGCAUGCCUGUUCGAGCGUCAUUUCAACCAUCAAGCCUUCGCUUGUGUUGGGGCCCCGCGGCUGCCGCGGUCCCCUAAAUCCAGUGGCGGGCUCGUUGUCGUACCGAGCGCAGUAGACAUCCUCGCUCCGGGAACCCGACGGGUGCCGGCCGUGAAACCCCCCACACCAAGGUUGACCUCGGAUCAGGUAGGAAUACCCGCUGAACUUAAGCAUAUCAAUAAGCGGAGGA
rnacentral:misc_RNA from 1 species